GGGCAGGAAGGCGCUCCACAGCACUAGGUGGACGCCACCCGCUGAGACUUUUAAUCCUCGUGUCCUGGGUUCGAAUCCCAGCCGGCUCACCA
rnacentral:tRNA from 1 species